CCAACGGCCCUCUUUAGGGCCACAAAUUAAUAAACCAAACUUUGU
rfam:Anisakis simplex genome assembly, scaffold: ASIM_scaffold0001983